rnacentral:rRNA from 1 species
ACGUAGGGAGCGAGCGUUGUCCGGAAUUACUGGGCGUAAAGAGCUCGUAGGCGGGACCGUAAGUCCGAGAGGAAAUCUCAAGGCUCAACUUUGGGGCUUUCUUGGAUACUGCGGUUCUUGAGGAUGAGAGAGGUAAGCAGAAUUCCCGGUGUAGCGGUGAAAUGCGUAGAUAUCGGGAGGAAUACCAGUGGCGAAGGCGGCUUACUGGCUCAUUCCUGACGCUGAGGAGCGAAAGCGUGGGGAGCAAACGGGA